rnacentral:rRNA from 1 species
GACGAACGCUGGCGGCGUGCCUAAUACAUGCAAGUAGGACGCUGAAGGAGGAGCUUGCUUCUCUGGAAGAGUUGCGAACGGGUGAGUAACGCGUAGGUAACCUGCCUGGUAGCGGGGGAUAACUAUUGGAAACGAUAGCUAAUACCGCAUAAUAGUAGAUGUUGCAUGACAUUUGCUUAAAAGGUGCAAUUGCAUCACUACCAGAUGGACCUGCGUUGUAUUAGCUAGUUGGUGGGGUAACGGCUCACCAAGGCGACGAUACAUAGCCGACCUGAGAGGGUGAUCGGCCACACUGGGACUGAGACACGGCCCAGACGCCUACGGGAGGCAGCAGUAGGGAAUCGUCGGCAAUGGACGGAAGUCUGACCGAGCAACGCCGAGUGAGUGAAGAAGGUUUUCGGAUCGUAAAGCUCUGUUGUAAGAGAAGAACGAGUGUGAGAGUGGAAAGUUCACACUGUGACGGUAUCUUAACAGAAAGGGACGGCUAACUACGUG